GGAAGGCCCUUCGGGGUACUCGAGCGGCGAACGGGUGAGUAACACGUGAGUAAUCUGCCCCAGGCUCUGGGAUAGCCACCGGAAACGGUGAUUAAUACCGGAUAUGACAACCGAUCACAUGAUCUGGUUGUGGAAAGUUUUUCGGCCUGGGAUGUGCUCGCGGCCUAUCAGCUUGUUGGUGAGGUAAUGGCUCACCAAGGCUUCGACGGGUAGCCGGCCUGAGAGGGUGACCGGCCACACUGGGACGAGACACGGCCCCACUCCUACGGGAGGCAGCAGUGGGGAAUAUUGGACAAUGGGCGGAAGCCUGAUCCAGCAACGCCGCGUGAGGGAUGACGGCCUUCGGGUUGUAAACCUCUUUCAGCACAGACGAAGCGAAAGUGACGGUAUGUGCAGAAGAAGGACCGGCCAACUACGUGCCAGCAGCCGCGGUAAUACGUAGGGUCCGAGCGUUGUCCGGAAUUAUUGGGCGUGAAGGGCUCGUAUGCGGUUUGUCUCGUCAGGAGUGAAAACCAGGUGCUUAACACCUGGCCUGCUUCCGAUUCGGGCUGACUAGAGGUAUUCAGGGGAGAAUGGAAUUCCUGGUGUAGCGGUGAGAUGCGCAGAUAUCAUGAGGAACACCGGUGGCGAACGCGGCUCUCUGGGAAUGACCUGACGCUGACGAGCGAAAGUGUGUGGAGCGAACAGGAUUAGAUACGCUGGUAGUCCACACCGUGAACGUUAGUCGCUAGGUGUAGGACACAUUCCACGUGUUCCGUGCCGCACUUAAGCACUAAUCGCCUCGCUAGGCGAGUACGGCCGGAGAGUAAACCUCAAUGAAUUGACGGUG
rnacentral:rRNA from 1 species